GACGAACGCUGGCGGCGUGCCUAAUACAUGCAAGUUGAGCGCUGAAGGUUGGUCCUUGUACCAACUGGAUGAGCAGCGAACGGGUGAGUAACGCGUGGGGAAUCUGCCUUUGAGCGGGGGACAACAUUUGGAAACGAAUGCUAAUACCGCAUAAAAACUUUAAACACAAGUUUUAAGUUUGAAAGAUGCAAUUGCAUCACUCAAAGAUGAUCCCGCGUUGUAUUAGCUAGUUGGUGAGGUAAAGGCUCACCAAGGCGAUGAUACAUAGCCGACCUGAGAGGGUGAUCGGCCACAUUGGGACUGAGACACGGCCCAAACUCCUACGGGAGGCAGCAGUAGGGAAUCUUCGGCAAUGGACGAAAGUCUGACCGAGCAACGCCGCGUGAGUGAAGAAGGUUGUCGGAUCGUAAAACUCGGUUGGUAGAGAAGAACGUUGGUGAGAGUGGAAAGCUCAUCAAGUGACGGUAACUACACAGAAAGGGACGGCUAACUACGUG
rnacentral:rRNA from 1 species